rnacentral:rRNA from 1 species
GACGAACGCUGGCGGCGUGCUUAACACAUGCAAGUCGAACGGAAAGGCCCUGCUUUUGUGGGGUGCUCGAGUGGCGAACGGGUGAGUAACACGUGAGUAACCUGCCCUUGACUUUGGGAUAACUUCAGGAAACUGGGGCUAAUACCGGAUAUGAGCUCCUGCUGCAUGGUGGGGGUUGGAAAGUUUCGGCGGUUGGGGAUGGACUCGCGGCUUAUCAGCUUGUUGGUGGGGUAGUGGCUUACCAAGGCUUUGACGGGUAGCCGGCCUGAGAGGGUGACCGGCCACAUUGGGACUGAGAUACGGGCCAGACUCCUACGGGAGGCAGCAGUGGAGAAUAGUGCACAAUGGGCGGAAGCCUGAUGCAGCAACGCCGCGUGCGGGAUGACGGCCUUCGGGUUGUAAACCGCUUUCGCCUGUGACGAAGAGUGAGUGACGGUAAUGGGUAAAGAAGCACCGGCUAACUACGUG